GAAUUCACUAGUGAUUAGAGUUUGAUUAUGGCUCAGGACGAACGCUGGCGGCGUGCUUAACACAUGCAAGUCGAACGGAGCACCCCUGAAGGAGUUUUCGGACAACGGAUGGGAAUGCUUAGUGGCGGACUGGUGAGUAACGCGUGAGGAACCUGCCCUUCAGAGGGGGACAACAGUUGGAAACGACUGCUAAUACCGCAUGAUACAUUUGAAUCGCAUGAUUUGAAUGUCAAAGAUUUAUCGCUGAAGGAUGGCCUCGCGUCUGAUUAGCUAGUUGGUGGGGUAACGGCCCACCAAGGCGACGAUCAGUAGCCGGACUGAGAGGUUGACCGGCCACAUUGGGACUGAGAUACGGCCCAGACUCCUACGGGAGGCAGCAGUGGGGAAUAUUGGGCAAUGGACGCAAGUCUGACCCAGCAACGCCGCGUGAAGGAAGAAGGCUUUCGGGUUGUAAACUUCUUUUAAGGGGGAAGAGCAGAAGACGGUACCCCUUGAAUAAGCCACGGCUAACUACGUGCCAGCAGCCGCGGUAAUACGUAGGUGGCAAGCGUUGUCCGGAUUUACUGGGUGUAAAGGGCGUGCAGCCGGAGAGACAAGUCAGAUGUGAAAUCCACGGGCUCAACCCGUGAACUGCAUUUGAAACUGUUUCGCUUGAGUGUCGGAGAGGUAAUCGGAAUUCCUUGUGUAGCGGUGAAAUGCGAAGAUAUAAGGAAGAACACCAGUGGCGAAGGCGGAUUACUGGACGAUAACUGACGGUGAGGCGCGAAAGCGUGGGGAGCAAACAGGAUUAGAUA
rnacentral:rRNA from 1 species